rnacentral:lncRNA from 1 species
GCUGUUCCCGCGCCCGGGGCAGGAAGGCGCGCUGGGCAGUUAGGUGCCCUCAGGGUGCCAGGCUCGUCAGACUGCUGGCCUUUCAGUCAUGUAUUCCAAUAUUUUGAGAAGGCCUACUGUGUGCCAGGCGCUGGGCCCCAGGGAGCGAAGCCGUCGUGCCGCCGCCGUAAUUGUACGCGGGUGCAGGGGUGCAGGGCUGGAAGCAGAUGCCUACUUGGUGCUGGUGUCAUUCCCAAAGGGGAGGCCAUCGCUGGUGCACAGGGAGGCUGGGUGGACAGAAUCUUCCUUUUUCUGCCACCCCCCAAAGCCAUCUAGUGAGAGGUGCUGCCAGCUUUGAAGGAUCCCUGCUCUCCCUGGUCCUCUGGUUCUCUUCAGACUCAUCUCGAGAGGAUGGACUGUCCCAGUGGGUCUCCGGUAAGCGCUGCAGUGGCUUCCUUAGCUGCCCCUCCCUGGAUACUGGUGCACAUAAGGAUGAGAGGAUGGGUGGAUGCAAGGACAAAGGGACAGGUUUUCCCCAAGCCCUCCUUCCCGGUGAGAUCCUCUCUAACCACUACAGCGGAACUGCCGCCCUUCCCCCAGCCAAGCAUCCUUCCCCCUCCUGCCCCCACCUCUGCUCUCUUUCCCCCAUAGCACCUUUCUGCACCUCGAAGACCCUCUCCGUUCAUCAUUGCCUUUCUCCCAUGUUAGUGCAGAGGCUCCCCGAGGGCAGCGAUCCCUUUUUUUUUUUCUUUUUUUUUUUUUAG